rnacentral:rRNA from 1 species
UACGUAGGGCGCAAGCGUUAUCCGGAAUUAUUGGGCGUAAAGAACUCGUAGGCGGUUUGUCGCGUCUGCCGUGAAAGUCCGGGGCUCAACUCCGGAUCUGCGGUGGGUACGGGCAGACUAGAGUGAUGUAGGGGAGACUGGAAUUCCUGGUGUAGCGGUGAAAUGCGCAGAUAUCAGGAGGAACACCGAUGGCGAAGGCAGGUCUCUGGGCAUUAACUGACGCUGAGGAGCGAAAGCACGGGGAGCGAACAGG